GGAGGGGGGGGGCCCGAGGGUCACAGGCAUGUUCACUUCCGUUUCCGGUGUGCCCUGGAGCCAUGGCUACCGCCAAGGAGGUGACGCUUCUGUUGACAUGCUGCAGAUCUUGCCGGAGCCUUCGAGGACCCCAAUCCCGAGCAUUCGCCGCCCUCGUGCCCGGUGUGUCCCAGGUAGACAACAAUUCCGAUUUUCUGGGGAAGAAGCCCCAUCGUAAGCAUCCCGGCAUCCUGCGUCUUCCGCACGUGCGGCUGCCACAAGCACUGAGUAACGCCGCGCAGUUACUGCUUCUUGAGAGACCCGUCCGCACUACAGAGAAGCAGGUACAGGCGCUCACCAACUAUCUCUGGAGCCGACAUUUGCCGGUAGAGCCGGAGGAAUUGCAAAGACGAGCUGUGGACCUUGAGAAAAAAUUCCUGGAAAAGCAAGACUCAGCUCAGACAGAGGAGAAGCUUCGUGAGGCAGUACUGCACGCCCUGCGCCGGACCACCUACCAUUGGCAGAAGCUCAGCUAUAAUGAAGAACUGAGUCUGAUAUACAUGGCAGCAAGAUUAGACGGUGCUUUCGCAGCGGUUUUCAGGGCGUUCCAUGAGAUCCAGACUCGAGUUCCAGAGUUCCAGCCACAGACGUUGAUGGACUUUGGAUCUGGUACUGGUUCUGUUGCCUGGGCUGCUCAUAGCACUUGGGGCCACAGCCUCCGUGAAUAUGUGUGUGUGGACACUUCAGCCGCCAUGCUGGGUUUGGCUGAAAAGCUACUAACAGGUGGUUCAGAGUCAGGGAAGCCCUGUAUCCCCGGUGUCUUCUUCAGACAGUUUCUACCUGUGUCACCCAAGGUCCAGUUUGAUGUGGUGGUGUCAGCCUUCGCCCUCAGUGAACUGCCCAGCAAGGCUGACCGCACUGAGGUGGUGCAGAACUUGUGGCGUAAGACAAGCCGUUUUCUGGUGUUGGUGGAGAACGGAACGAAAGCUGGGCACCGUCUUCUCAUGGAGGCCAGGAGCCUGGUCCUCCAGGAAAAAGAGAAGUCCCCUUUGGAUCUUCAGCCUGGCUUCGUCUUUGCCCCAUGUCCCCAUGAGCUCCCUUGUCCUCAGCUGACAGCCUCCAAGCCCCUGGCCUGUAGCUUCUCCCAGGCUUAUCAUCCUAUCCCCUUCAGCUGGAAUAAGAAGCCGAAAGAGGAAACAUUCUCUAUGGUAAUCCUCGCCAGGGGGUCUCCGAAGGAGGCUCCUCGCUGGCCCCGCAUCACUCAGCCUGUCCUUAAACGGCCUCGCCAUGUGCACUGUCACCUCUGUUGUCCAGACGGGCACACGCAGCAUGCUGUGGUUACUGCCCGUCGGCAUGGCAGGGAUUUGUAUCGCUGUGCCCGUGUCAGCUCCUGGGGAGACCUUUUGCCUGUGGUCGCUCUGUCCCCUGCUGAAGAGCCCACAGAGAGUUGACGAGGAUGCGGAUGUAACAAGUGUUUUCUUCCAUCACACCUGCCAAGGCCGAGGCUACCUGGUGUCCAGGAAGACAGUGCUGAACAACCCCAGUUCCCAGCAGGAAAUGGUAACAAACCUUCAAACCUGUCAGGAGGGUACCCACCCAGAAGGCAGGGCCACUCACUCGGAGAUUACGACCUAGAAAGGGA